rnacentral:rRNA from 1 species
AAUGAACGCUGGCGGCAUGCCUUACACAUGCAAGUCGAACGGCAGCAUGACCUAGCUUGCUUGGUUGAUGGCGAGUGGCGAACGGGUGAGUAAUGCAUCGGAACGUGCCUUUUAGUGGGGGAUAACGUAGCGAAAGUUACGCUAAUACCGCAUAUUCUCUGAGGAGGAAGGCAGGGGGCCUUCGGGCCUUGCGCUAGAAGAGCGGCCGAUGUCGGAUUAGCUAGUUGGUGAGGUAAAGGCUCACCAAGGCAACGAUCCGUAGCGGGUCUGAGAGGAUGAUCCGCCACACUGGGACUGAGACACGGCCCAGACUCCUACGGGAGGCAGCAGUGGGGAAUUUUGGACAAUGGGCGCAAGCCUGAUCCAGCCAUGCCGCGUGAGUGAAGAAGGCCUUCGGGUUGUAAAGCUCUGUCGGCUGGGAAGAAAUCGCACUCUCUAAUACAGGGUGUGGAUGACGGUACCAGCAUAAGAAGCACCGGCUAACUACGUG